UACGUAGGUGGCAAGCGUUGUCCGGAUUUACUGGGCGUAAAGAGCGCGCAGGCGGUCGUUCAAGUCGCGUGUGAAAGCCCCCGGCUCAACUGGGGAGGGUCAUUCGAUACUGAUCGACUCGAAGGCAGGAGAGGGAAGUGGAAUUCCCGGUGUAGUGGUGAAAUGCGUAGAUAUCGGGAGGAACACCAGUGGCGAAGGCGACUUCCUGGCCUGUUCUUGACGCUGAGGCGCGAAAGCCAGGGGAGCAAACGGG
rnacentral:rRNA from 1 species